GCCCAGAUGGCGCAGUGGUAGCGCACCUCAUUGGUAAUGAGGAGGUCACGGGUUCGAAUCUCGUUCUGGGCUCCA
rnacentral:tRNA from 1 species